UACGAAGGGGGCUAGCGUUGCUCGGAAUCACUGGGCGUAAAGAGCUCGUAGGCGGUCUGUUGCGUCGGCUGUGAAAACCCGGGGCUCAACCCCGGGCCUGCAGCCGAUACGGGCAGACUAGAGUUCGGCAGGGGAGACUGGAAUUCCUGGUGUAGCGGUGAAAUGCGCAGAUAUCAGGAAGAACACCCGUGGCUAAGGCGGCUCUCUAGUACGGUACUGACGCUGAGACGCGAAAGCGUGGGGAGCGAACAGG
rnacentral:rRNA from 1 species